GAGCCGGAGGAUGGGGAACAGUCGAUAGAGCUUUGAAUGCGAAGGAAACUUUUUGGUUUGAGUUGAAUGCACUUCUCCUUUUUUUUGCUUGGAUUCACUCUUGAGAUGUUUUUGGUGGUUGAAAACCUUUAAUGCUCAAGUGGCAUAACUCUCUUCUUUUCUACUACUGUUCACUCUGGCUAUUUAAGUGAUCUUCUUUGAAAAAUAGUCGUUAGAGAGGAGAUUAGAGCCGUUCUGGUCGACCCAUCUGCACAAUCUGACAAUGUAUCCAUUGGGAU
rnacentral:lncRNA from 1 species